rnacentral:rRNA from 1 species
AACGAACGCUGGCGGCAGGCUUAACACAUGCAAGUCGAGCGCCCCGCAAGGGGAGCGGCAGACGGGUGAGUAACGCGUGGGAACAUACCCUCCGGUUCGGAAUAACUCAGGGAAACUUGAGCUAAUACCGGAUACGGUCGAGAGGCGAAAGAUUUAUCGCCGGAGGAUUGGCCCGCGUCCGAUUAGCUAGUUGGUGUGGUAAUGGCGCACCAAGGCGACGAUCGGUAGCUGGUCUGAGAGGAUGAUCAGCCACAUUGGGACUGAGACACGGCCCAAACUCCUACGGGAGGCAGCAGUGGGGAAUAUUGGACAAUGGGCGCAAGCCUGAUCCAGCCAUGCCGCGUGAGUGAUGAAGGCCUUAGGGUUGUAAAGCUCUUUCGCCCAC